CAACGCUCAGACGUCAUGCCCACGUGCGCCAGAAGAGGUCCAGUUGCAUCUGUAGAUGCGACAGAAAACAAAUGACCGCUUAUGUCGCUGUGUGAUUAACCGUGCAAAGCAGCUUGUUUGGAAGUCCUCAACACACACAGGGUCCUGCUAUGUUGAGGUGUGUCAGCUAUGACUGAUGUGGAGGCGACAUAUGAAGACUUCAUCGCUUCGCGGCGGACCGGCCGACGGAACGCCGUACACGAUAUCCCACAAUCCCCUGAUGCACAGGGACCCAGCGACCUGUCACAGGACCUGGCACAGCUCAACAUCAACAAGUCAGGUGAAAGAGAGGAUGCUGAAAAGAGCAAGACCCUGUCAGAGUCUUAAUCCACACCAGAAGAGGGAGGUAAAGAGUUGGGGAGCUAGCAGAUGAUCUAGACCUGGACCAAAACCCCUGCUCUUUUUCCAAGCUACUGAUCUGUGAACUGUAGACCUUCUACCAGUAUAGCUUCCCAACCUGCUCUCAGAACUCUGCCCUGAGCCAAUAACAUGAGUUGUUGGCGUUACCGAGGCAGUCACAGCACGCCGAGUCCUCUGUGCUGGUCCUUCUCCCAACAGUCUUAAAAAGCUUCCUUUCCUUGCCUCCUUUCCUUCUAAACAACAGAAGCUGAAAUUAAAACAAGCCCAUUCCGAUUCUGCUCUUUCUCCCUGAAGUUUAUAUAGUGAAACGAAAUUCAUAGGAUAAACAGAGUUGGAUUAAUAUGGUGUGGCUGAUGAAGAAAUAUGGUAGUAUCCUACCUAGUCCAUUGACCCUUCAGUGGCCCUUCCUAAAGGAAAGGAAAUGAGGAAAGGUUGCCAAUUAAGGUGAUUUGUACAUGACCGAAGAAGUUUUCAACAACGGAAGUGGAACAUCCCUAACCACCCUUGGGGAUUCACUAUGGUUACCAUCCUUAACACAGGACUGUCGCUCGGAACAAUGAACAGUGGUUGGACACGGACUCCUGCUCUUUCUUCUCUGCCCUGAUGCCAUUGGCCCGGGCCCCCUGUCAAUCAUGUGGGCAUCCUUACAGGAACAACAACCCCCUUUUACUCUCUAAAUGAAUUAACCUUCAUUUAACUAGGAGAUAUCCUGAGAUUGAGAAUCUAUUUUACCAGAGACCUGGCAAUUUAGGCUGUUGGAAACUAAAACAUUAUAUAUAUAUAUAUAUAUUGCCAUGAUAUGAUAAUUGGAGACACUGACGCUGAAACUUGGCCGUUAAUUUCACUGCACUGUUUUGCUCGUCUCCAACAGGUUGUUUCUUAUGUGGCCUGCUAACUGAUGUCCCCUCCACAGUGUGUGGCUGAUCAGCAUGUGUGUGCUGUCCCAUGGUCAUGUCCUGAUGUCUCACUCACUGCACCAGGUAUAAUGAGUGAUGUCUUUGUGUCUGUGUUCUAUCAAAUGAGUUAUUCAUCCAUUUUCAGUAAAGGAUGCUUAGAGGGAUAGUUCACCCCAAAAUCAAAGUUGUUCAGAUAUUCUCGAAUAAUGAAACCCGGCCUAAGUGCUACAUGGCACAGUCCAAUCGUAGUGGUACAGUCCAAUCCUAGUGGUACAGUCCAAUGCUGUUUAUAAUGAAAGCCUACUAGCUGUAUGAACUCUACAUUUAGUGUUUUCCAUAUGUAUUUAUUUACUUAUUAACUUAACAAGAGCACUGUGAGACUGACAUGCUGGCUGCAGGCCAUUUGUUGAUUUUGUUUGUUUUGGAUAUACAAAUAAAGACCAUAAUUGAGAAGUGAC